rnacentral:rRNA from 1 species
GACGAACGCUGGCGGCGUGCUUAACACAUGCAAGUCGAACGGAAAGGCCCUGCUUUUGUGGGGUGCUCGAGUGGCGAAAGGGUGAGUAACACGUGAGUAACCUGCCCUUGACUUUGGGAUAACUUCAGGAAACUGGGGCUAAUACCGGAUAGGAGCUCCUGCUGCAUGGUGGGGGUUGGAAAGUUUCGGCGGCUGGGGAUGGACUCGCGGCUUAUCAGAUUGUUGGUGGGGUAGUGGCUUACCAAGGCUUUGACGGGUAGCCGGCCUGGGAGGGUGACCGGACACACUGGGACUGAGAUACGGCCCAGACUCCUACGGGAGGCAGCAGUGGGGAAUAUUGCACAAUGGGAGGAAGCCUGAUGCAGCAACGCCGCGUGCGGGAUGACGGCAUUCGGGUUGUAAUCCGCUUCCGCCUGUGACGAAGCGUGAGUGACGGUAAUGGGUAAAGAAGCACCGGCUAACUACGUG